rnacentral:rRNA from 1 species
GUAGCGGCGAGCGAACGGGGAGGAGCCCAGAGCCUGAAUCAGUGUGUGUGUUAGUGGAAGCGUCUGGAAAGGCGCGCGAUACAGGGUGACAGCCCCGUACACAAAAAUGCACAUAUUGUGAGCUCGAUGAGUAGGGCGGGACACGUGGUAUCCUGUCUGAAUAUGGGGGGACCAUCCUCCAAGGCUAAAUACUCCUGACUGACCGAUAGUGAACCAGUACCGUGAGGGAAAGGCGAAAAGAACCCCGGCGAGGGGAGUGAAAAAGAACCUGAAACCGUGUACGUACAAGCAGUGGGAGCCUCUUAAUGGGGUGACUGCGUACCUUUUGUAUAAUGGGUCAGCGACUUAUAUUCUGUAGCAAGGUUAACCGAAUAGGGGAGCCGAAGGGAAACCGAGUCUUAACUGGGCGUUAAGUUGCAGGGUAUAGACCCGAAACCCGGUGAUCUAGCCAUGGGCAGGUUGAAGGUUGGGUAACACUAACUGGAGGACCGAACCGACUAAUGUUGAAAAAUUAGCGGAUGACUUGUGGCUGGGGGUGAAAGGCCAAUCAAACCGGGAGAUAGCUGGUUCUCCCCGAAAGCUAUUUAGGUAGCGCCUCGUGAAUUCAUCUCCGGGGGUAGAGCACUGUUUCGGCAAGGGGGUCAUCCCGACUUACCAACCCGAUGCAAACUGCGAAUACCGGAGAAUGUUAUCACGGGAGACACACGGCGGGUGCUAACGUCCGUCGUGAAGAGGGAAACAACCCAGACCGCCAGCUAAGGUCCCAAAGUCAUGGUUAAGUGGGAAACGAUGUGGGAAGGCCCAGACAGCCAGGAUGUUGGCUUAGAAGCAGCCAUCAUUUAAAGAAAGCGUAAUAGCUCACUGGUCGAGUCGGCCUGCGCGGAAGAUGUAACGGGGCUAAACCAUG